UUCGACACACUAUCAUUAACUGAAUCCAUAGGUUAAUGAGGCGAACCGGGGGAACUGAAACAUCUAAGUACCCCGAGGAAAAGAAAUCAACCGAGAUUCCCCCAGUAGCGGCGAGCGAACGGGGAGGAGCCCAGAGCCUGAAUCAGUGUGUGUGUUAGUGGAAGCGUCUGGAAAGGCGCGCGAUACAGGGUGACAGCCCCGUACACAAAAAUGCACAUGCUGUGAGCUCGAUGAGUAGGGCGGGACACGUGGUAUCCUGUCUGAAUAUGGGGGGACCAUCCUCCAAGGCUAAAUACUCCUGACUGACCGAUAGUGAACCAGUACCGUGAGGGAAAGGCGAAAAGAACCCCGGCGAGGGGAGUGAAAAAGAACCUGAAACCGUGUACGUACAAGCAGUGGGAGCACAGAGCAAUCUGUGUGACUGCGUACCUUUUGUAUAAUGGGUCAGCGACUUAUAUUCUGUAGCAAGGUUAACCGAAUAGGGGAGCCGAAGGGAAACCGAGUCUUAACUGGGCGUUAAGUUGCAGGGUAUAGACCCGAAACCCGGUGAUCUAGCCAUGGGCAGGUUGAAGGUUGGGUAACACUAACUGGAGGACCGAACCGACUAAUGUUGAAAAAUUAGCGGAUGACUUGUGGCUGGGGGUGAAAGGCCAAUCAAACCGGGAGAUAGCUGGUUCUCCCCGAAAGCUAUUUAGGUAGCGCCUCGUGAAUUCAUCUCCGGGGGUAGAGCACUGUUUCGGCAAGGGGGUCAUCCCGACUUACCAACCCGAUGCAAACUGCGAAUACCGGAGAAUGUUAUCACGGGAGACACACGGCGGGUGCUAACGUCCGUCGUGAAGAGGGAAACAACCCAGACCGCCAGCUAAGGUCCCAAAGUCAUGGUUAAGUGGGAAACGAUGUGGGAAGGCCCAGACAGCCAGGAUGUUGGCUUAGAAGCAGCCAUCAUUUAAAGAAAGCGUAAUAGCUCACUGGUCGAGUCGGCCUGCGCGGAAGAUGUAACGGGGCUAAACCAUGCACCGAAGCUGCGGCAGCGACACUGUGUGUUGUUGGGUAGGGGAGCGUUCUGUAAGCCUGUGAAGGUGUACUGUGAGGUAUGCUGGAGGUAUCAGAAGUGCGAAUGCUGACAUAAGUAACGAUAAAGCGGGUGAAAAGCCCGCUCGCCGGAAGACCAAGGGUUCCUGUCCAACGUUAAUCGGGGCAGGGUGAGUCGACCCCUAAGGCGAGGCCGAAAGGCGUAGUCGAUGGGAAACAGGUUAAUAUUCCUGUACUUGGUGUUACUGCGAAGGGGGGACGGAGAAGGCUAUGUUGGCCGGGCGACGGUUGUCCCGGUUUAAGCGUGUAGGCUGGUUUUCCAGGCAAAUCCGGAAAAUCAAGGCUGAGGCGUGAUGACGAGGCACUACGGUGCUGAAGCAACAAAUGCCCUGCUUCCAGGAAAAGCCUCUAAGCAUCAGGUAACAUCAAAUCGUACCCCAAACCGACACAGGUGGUCAGGUAGAGAAUACCAAGGCGCUUGAGAGAACUCGGGUGAAGGAACUAGGCAAAAUGGUGCCGUAACUUCGGGAGAAGGCACGCUGAUAUGUAGGUGAAGUCCCUCGCGGAUGGAGCUGAAAUCAGUCGAAGAUACCAGCUGGCUGCAACUGUUUAUUAAAAACACAGCACUGUGCAAACACGAAAGUGGACGUAUACGGUGUGACGCCUGCCCGGUGCCGGAAGGUUAAUUGAUGGGGUCAGCGCAAGCGAAGCUCUUGAUCGAAGCCCCGGUAAACGGCGGCCGUAACUAUAACGGUCCUAAGGUAGCGAAAUUCCUUGUCGGGUAAGUUCCGACCUGCACGAAUGGCGUAAUGAUGGCCAGGCUGUCUCCACCCGAGACUCAGUGAAAUUGAACUCGCUGUGAAGAUGCAGUGUACCCGCGGCAAGACGGAAAGACCCCGUGAACCUUUACUAUAGCUUGACACUGAACAUUGAGCCUUGAUGUGUAGGAUAGGUGGGAGGCUUUGAAGUGUGGACGCCAGUCUGCAUGGAGCCGACCUUGAAAUACCACCCUUUAAUGUUUGAUGUUCUAACGUGGACCCGUGAUCCGGGUUGCGGACAGUGUCUGGUGGGUAGUUUGACUGGGGCGGUCUCCUCCUAAAGAGUAACGGAGGAGCACGAAGGUUGGCUAAUCCUGGUCGGACAUCAGGAGGUUAGUGCAAUGGCAUAAGCCAGCUUGACUGCGAGCGUGACGGCGCGAGCAGGUGCGAAAGCAGGUCAUAGUGAUCCGGUGGUUCUGAAUGGAAGGGCCAUCGCUCAACGGAUAAAAGGUACUCCGGGGAUAACAGGCUGAUACCGCCCAAGAGUUCAUAUCGACGGCGGUGUUUGGCACCUCGAUGUCGGCUCAUCACAUCCUGGGGCUGAAGUAGGUCCCAAGGGUAUGGCUGUUCGCCAUUUAAAGUGGUACGCGAGCUGGGUUUAGAACGUCGUGAGACAGUUCGGUCCCUAUCUGCCGUGGGCGCUGGAGAACUGAGGGGGGCUGCUCCUAGUACGAGAGGACCGGAGUGGACGCAUCACUGGUGUUCGGGUUGUCAUGCCAAUGGCACUGCCCGGUAGCUAAAUGCGGAAGAGAUAAGUGCUGAAAGCAUCUAAGCACGAAACUUGCCCCGAGAUGAGUUCUCCCUGACCCUUUAAGGGUCCUGAAGGAACGUUGAAGACGACGACGUUGAUAGGCCGGGUGUGUAAGCGCAGCGAUGCGUUGAGCUAACCGGUACUAAUGAACCGUGAGGCUUAACCUUACAACGCCGAAGGUGUUU
rnacentral:rRNA from 1 species